rnacentral:rRNA from 1 species
AUUGAACGCUGGCGGAAUGCUUUACACAUGCAAGUCGAACGGUAGAGGGGGCGACCCCUCGAGAGUGGCGAACGGGUGAGUAAUAUAUCGGAACGUGCCCAGUCGUGGGGGAUAACGUAGCGAAAGUUACGCUAAUACCGCAUACGAUCUAAGGAUGAAAGCGGGGGAUCGCAAGACCUCGCGCGAUUGGAGCGGCCGAUAUCAGAUUAGGUAGUUGGUGGGGUAAAGGCUCACCAAGCCAACGAUCUGUAGCUGGUCUGAGAGGACGACCAGACACACUGGAACUGAGACAAGGUCCAGACUCAUACGGGAGGCAGCAGUGGGGAAUUUUGGACAAUGGACGCAAGUCUGAUCCAGCCAUUCCGCGUGCAGGAUGAAGGCCCUCGGGUUGUAAACUGCUUUUGUACGGAACGAAAAGGUCUCUCUUAAUACGGGGGACUCAUGACGGUACCGUAAGAAUAAGCACCGGCUAACUACGUGCCAGCAGCCGCCGUAA